rnacentral:hammerhead_ribozyme from 1 species
GUACUGAUGAAGAGUUCCAGACUAGGAGGAAAUAGCUGUCCAGUAC